CAAAGAUUUCUGGGCACUUCCUGGCCAAUCAUGGCUCCGUCUAGGUAUUAGGCUCAGAACUUUACCUCAGGCUGAGGGACUAUGAGCAGAUUUUUAUUCCCCUCAGCAGAGCUUCUGGGCUUAAACUACAAUAUGGUUCCACAGUCAGAAGUCUGAACAUGAAACGGUUUCUCAGCGCAAAAGUACAGCUCUGGGGAAAGUUAUCAAUGGCAUUUUGAGAGAAGCUAAAAUUAACAGAUUUGCCAAUCCCCUACUGCAGGGUAGCGUGGUCACUUGCACCACCUCAGCAAGGCAAUGCUGAGGAGGAUAAUUUUACCACACAUUUUGGGGCCAACGAUUGCAAAAUAUGUGGUAGAAUGACCAGUUCUAACACCUCAAGCGACAUGGGAGUCAAAAACCCUCAGCGAAGAAGUAUCUCAUCUUCAGAGGAGAGUGGACCAGGGGAUUGGAUCAGCUCUUUGCUUGCCGAGUCCCAAACAGGAUGGAAGCGAGACACACGCUUCCUCCAGGGACCUGCAAUCCUCUAUUAGGAGCCAUUUGCAAUUAAUGCAAACACUGAUGCUUACGCCAUCACGAUAACACUGAAAUCCAGCCAGUUCCACGGGUCUCGAAGGAAGGUGAAUUCAUUCAAGCAAAAGCCUCUUGCCAAUAUCUUGAUUAGACAUUCAAAGGAAUAAAUGGCCGUGAAAGUAUACCUGGGGAGUGAAAGUAUACAGGGAAACAAGGUCAACACAGAAAGUAAGGUCCUGUAUUAGGAGAAUAUAGUCGAAAUAGAAGGAACAAUAUCACCAAAGUUACUUACUCAACAUACUUCGUGGAGGAAGUCUCACUGCUAUUUGACUGCACGUCCG